GUCUACAGCCAUACCACCCUGAACACACCUGAUCUUGUUUGAUCUCAGAAGCAAAGCAGGGUUGGGCCUGGUACUUGGAUGGGAGAAACAGUAAAGGAAAUAAAAUUGAGUCAAAUGAAGUCAGAUGUAAACA
rnacentral:rRNA from 1 species